GUUAGUGGCUUGCAUGUAGCAGAGUGUAUUAGAGAUGCUGGGAGGUCAUAUUUCAGAUUAGGCUGCAAAAAGACCAUGGCUUCUCAAUUGUGCCUUCCUUGUGUUCAUUCUAAGAGAAGCCAGCUGCUCUGCUUGACAAGGAACUGAGAGAGGCCUUUAGCCAAUAGACAGUAAGGAAGUGACAUCCUCAGUCCAACAGCCUCCGAGGAACUGAAUUCUGACAACUACAUGAGUAAGUUUAGAAGUGGAUCCUUUCCUAAUCAAGACUUCAGAGAUGAAAGCACCAGCCAACAAUUUGGUCACAGACUCUGAGAGAUCUUGAACCAGAAGGAUUAUCCAAGCCUCAUCCAGAUUCCGGAUGCACCAUAGUUGUGAGGAGUUGAUACCAAGGAUAAUCCUUACUAAGCCUCCCAACCACUGAAAUUGUCCAGUUCUGCUUCUUCUGAAAAUUACCUACGGAAAUGGAGGAUCAAUUAAUUCUAAUAACUGGUUGUCUUUUUUUCAUCCAUUUCAUGGAAUCAAAGUGAAGCUCUUGGAAGUUCAUUUUGUCAUACUGUGUUUGCUAUUGUUAGUGCACUUAAGAAGUUCACCAUUAAAGACCUUUGGAUUCGGACUGAAUUUCACAACCAACUUUCCUGGGCAUCCAGUUUGCAGAUGGAAAUCUUGGGACUUCUCAGUCUCAGCCAC